rnacentral:rRNA from 1 species
AGAGUUUGAUCCUGGCUCAGAUUGAACGCUGGCGGCAGGCCUAACACAUGCAAGUCGAGCGCGUAGCAAUACGGAGCGGCAGACGGGAGAGUAACACGUGGGAACGUGCCCUUCAGUUCGGAACAACCCAGGGAAACUUGGGCUAAUACCGGAUACGCCCGCAAGGGGAAAGAUUUAUUGCCGAAAGAUCGGCCCGCGUC